rnacentral:tRNA from 1 species
GCCCGUUUAGCUCAGUGGUAGAGCGCGCCACUUGUACUAUGGCGCAAUGGUGAGGUCGGUUGUUCAAUCCAGCCAAUGGGCA